UUUUAUGUUCCUUGAUCCGAACCAAACAACCGAACCUAAGGAUAUAAUUUAGUGAAUUUUGUGUUCCUUGAUCCGAACCAAACGGCCGAAACUAAGGACAAUAUUCCAUAUGUGAGAAGAAAGAACUCCUUGAUCCGAACCAAGCGGCCGAAACUAAGGACAAUAUUUCAUAUGUGAGAAGCGAGAGUUCCUUGAUCCGAACCAAGCGUCGAAACUAAGGACAAUAUUUCAUAUGUGAGAAGAAAGAACUCCUUGAUCCGAACCAUGUGGCCGAAACUAAGGACAAUAUUUCAUAUGUGAGAACAGAGAGUUCCUUGAUCCGAACCAAGCGGUCGAAACUAAGGACAAUAUUUCAUAUGUGAGAAGAGAGAGCUCCUUGAUCCGAACCAAGCGGCCGAAACUAAGGAGAUGAGACCAUCAUCAUAUCUCACCUUCUCACCUCUGCAUGUAGAACGCUGGCCUCCUUGCUCCUUUCUCUAUGUGCUUCUCUGUAUUGUAUGCGUGUGUUGUCUGAUUUUCAGCGGUGAGAGAAACAAAUGAAG
rnacentral:lncRNA from 1 species